GAUGAAGAACGCAGCGAAAUGCGAUAAGUAAUGUGAAUUGCAGAAUUCAGUGAAUCAUCGAAUCUUUGAACGCACAUUGCGCCCCCUGGUAUUCCGGGGGGCAUGCCUGUUCGAGCGUCAUUUCACCACUCAAGCCUCGCUUGGUAUUGGGCAACGCGGUCCGCCGCGUGCCUCAAAUCGACCGGCUGGGUCUUCUGUCCCCUAAGCGUUGUGGAAACUUUCGCUAAAGGGUGUUCGGGAGGCUACGCCGUAAAACAACCCCAAUUCUAAGGUUGACCUCGGAUCAGGUAGGGAUACCCGCUGAACUUAAGCAUAUCAAUAAGCGGAGGA
rnacentral:misc_RNA from 1 species